rnacentral:tRNA from 2 species
GGGGGCUUAGCUCAGUUGGGAGAGCGCCUGCGUCGCAUGCAGGAGGUCACGGGUUCAACUCCCGCAGCUUCCACCA